UACCAGACUCCUACGGGAGGCAGCAGUGGGGAAUAUUGCACAAUGGGGGAAACCCUGAUGCAGCGACGCCGCGUGAGCGAAGAAGUAUUUCGGUAUGUAAAGCUCUAUCAGCAGGGAAGAAAAUGACGGUACCUGACUAAGAAGCUCCGGCUAAAUACGUGCCAGCAGCCGCGGUAAUACGUAUGGAGCAAGCGUUAUCCGGAAUUACUGGGUGUAAAGGGAGCGUAGACGGAUGUGCAAGUCUGAUGUGAAAGGCGGGGGCUCAACCCCUGGACUGCAUUGGAAACUGUAAAUCUUGAGUGCCGGAGAGGUAAGCGGAAUUCCUAGUGUAGCGGUGAAAUGCGUAGAUAUUAGGAGGAACACCAGUGGCGAAGGCGGCUUACUGGACGGUAACUGACGUUGAGGCUCGAAAGCGUGGGGAGCAAACAGGAUUAGAUACCCGGGUAAG
rnacentral:rRNA from 1 species